rnacentral:rRNA from 1 species
GAGUAACACGUGGGCAACCUGCCUGUAAGACUGGGAUAACUUCGGGAAACCGGAGCUAAUACCGGAUACGUUCUUUCCUCGCAUGAGGAAAGAUGGAAAGACGGUUUCGGCUGUCACUUACAGAUGGGCCCGCGGCGCAUUAGCUAGUUGGUGAGGUAAUGGCUCACCAAGGCCACGAUGCGUAGCCGACCUGAGAGGGUGAUCGGCCACACUGGGACUGAGACACGGCCCAGACUCCUACGGGAGGCAGCAGUAGGGAAUCUUCCGCAAUGGACGAAAGUCUGACGGAGCAACGCCGCGUGAGCGAAGAAGGCCUUCGGGUCGUAAAGCUCUGUUGUUAGGGAAGAACAAGUGCCAGAGUAACUGCUGGCACCUUGACGGUACCUAACCAGAAAGCCACGGCUAACUACGUGCCAGCAGCCGCGGUAAUACGUAGGUGGCAAGCGUUGUCCGGAAUUAUUGGGCGUAAAGCGCGCGCAGGUGGUUCCUUAAGUCUGAUGUGAAAGCCCACGGCUCAACCGUGGAGGGUCAUUGGAAACUGGGGGACUUGAGUGCAGAAGAGGAAAGUGGAAUUCCAAGUGUAGCGGUGAAAUGCGUAGAGAUUUGGAGGAACACCAGUGGCGAAGGCGACUUUCUGGUCUGUAACUGACACUGAGGCGCGAA